UUCCUCCACUCUCUCCUAUCCUUCUCCUACCUCUUCCCCACGAGCUGCUGCUCCACCAAGGCUCCAUGGCCGGCCAUGGCCAUGGAAAGCUCACCAAGAUACAGCUCCCUCCUCCCUCAAGGUCCUCCUCACCAUGAGAGCAUCCCUCUCCUUCUUCUCCCCAACCCUAGAUGGUUUUAUCUCCUCUUAUUCUUCCUCCCUUGCUAAGAUUGGAUCUUGAUGCAGGUGCAUGUUGGUCCAAGCAUGGAGAAGGUUGAGCAAUCCUCAGAUCUGAAGUUCUUGAGCAAAAUCCAAAUCGAGUGAUUCAAAGUUCCACAGGUAGAUAUUGAAAAGAUCUACAACUUGGCGUUGGUCUCAUCCUCAAAUUCGUUACGGAUUUUCCUCGAUCAAGAUCUGGUCAGAUCUGACUUUGUCAAAUUAAACCAGGAGCCUGGAAACGAAUUUUUGAAUGAAACAAAUUGGG